rnacentral:rRNA from 1 species
AAUCUGCCUAUUAGUGGGGGACAACAUUCCGAAAGGGAUGCUAAUACCGCAUACGCCCUACGGGGGAAAGCAGGGGAUCACUUGUGACCUUGCGCUAAUAGAUGAGCCUAAGUCGGAUUAGCUAGUUGGUGGGGUAAAGGCCUACCAAGGCGACGAUCUGUAGCGGGUCUGAGAGGAUGAUCCGCCACACUGGGACUGAGACACGGCCCAGACUCCUACGGGAGGCAGCAGUGGGGAAUAUUGGACAAUGGGGGGAACCCUGAUCCAGCCAUGCCGCGUGUGUGAAGAAGGCCUUUUGGUUGUAAAGCACUUUAAGCGAGGAGGAGGCGCUCUAGGAUAAUACCCUAGAUGCGUGGACGUUACUCGCAGAAUAAGCACCGGCUAACUCUGUGCCAGCAGCCGCGGUAAUACAGAGGGUGCGAGCGU